rnacentral:rRNA from 1 species
ACGAACGCUGGCGGCGUGCUUCACACCUGCACGUCGAACGGAAAGGCCCUGCUUUUGUGGGGUGCUCGAGUGGCGAACGGGUGAGUAACACGUGAGUAACCUGCCCUUGACUUUGGGAUAACUUCAGGAAACUGGGGCUAAUACCGGAUAGGAGCUCCUGCUGCAUGGUGGGGGUUGGAAAGUUUCGGCGGUUGGGGAUGGACUCGCGGCUUAUCAGCUUGUUGGUGGGGUAGUGGCUUACCAAGGCUUUGACGGGUAGCCGGCCUGAGAGGGUGACCGGCCACAUUGGGACUGAGAUACGGCCCAGACUCCUACGGGAGGCAGCAGUGGGGAAUAUUGCACAAUGGGCGGAAGCCUGAUGCAGCAACGCCGCGUGCGGGAUGACGGCCUUCGGGUUGUAAACCGCUUUCGCCUGUGACGAAGCGUGAGUGACGGUAAUGGGUAAAGAAGCACCGGCUAACUACGUG